GCUCCAGUGGCGCAAUCGGUCGGCGCGCAGUGCUUGUGAAGCUGUGCCGAGGUUGUGAGUUCGAGCCUCACCUGGAGCA
rnacentral:tRNA from 1 species